rnacentral:rRNA from 1 species
UACGUAGGCAGCAAGCGUUGUUCGGAGUUACUGGGCGUAAAGGGUGCGUAGGCGGCUUUUUAAGUUUGGUGUGAAAUCUCCCGGCUCAACUGGGAGGGUGCGCCGAAUACUGAGAGGCUAGAGUGCGGGAGAGGAUAGUGGAAUUCCCGGUGUAGAGGUGAAAUUCGUAGAGAUCGGGAGGAACACCAGUGGCGAAGGCGACUAUCUGGCUGACAACUGACGCUGAGACUCGAAAGCAUGGGGAGCAAACAGGA